CCUACGGGGGACAGCAGUGGGGAAUAUUGCGCAAUGGGCGAAAGCCUGACGCAGCGACGCCGCGUGAGGGAUGAAGGUCUUCGGAUCGUAAACCUCUGUCAGCAGGGAAGAACGGUCACUGUGCUAAUCAGCAGUGAAUUGACGGUACCUGCAAAGGAAGCACCGGCUAACUACGUGCCAGCAGCCGGGGUAAUACGGAGGGCGCGAGCGUUAAUCGGAAUUACUGGGCGUAAAGCGCUCGUAGGCGGGAUGUCAAGUCAAGGGGGAAAUCCCCGCGCUCAACGUGGGAACUGCCUUUGAAACUGGCAAACUGGAGUGUGUGAGAGGAUAGUGGAAUUCGAGGUGUAGGAGUGAAAUCCGUAGAUAUCUGGAGGAACAUCAGUGGCGAAGGCGACUAUCUGGCACAUAACUGACGCUGAGGAGCGAAAGCGUGGGUAGCAAACAGGAUUAGAUACCCUGGUAGUC
rnacentral:rRNA from 1 species